UGAUGAGAGAUGCCCAACGUACAG
rnacentral:piRNA from 1 species